rnacentral:rRNA from 1 species
GACGAACGCUGGCGGCGUGCUUAACACAUGCAAGUCGAACGGAAAGGCCUCUCUCGGGGGGUACUCGCGUGGCGAACGGGUGAGUAACACGCGAGUAACCUGCCCUCUACUUUGGGAUAAAUUCAGGAAACUGUGGCUAUUAUCGGAUAGAAGCUCCUGUUGCACGGUGGGGGUUGGAAAGUUUCGGCGGUUGGGGAUGGACUCGCGGGUUAUCAGCUUUGUGGGGGGGUAGUGGCUUACCAAGGCUUUUUCGGGUAGCCGGCCUGGGAGGGUGACCGGCCACAAUGGGACUUAGAUACGGCCCAGGAUCCUACGGGGGGCAAGAGGGGGGAAAAAUGCACAAAGGGUGGGAGCCUGAUGCAACAACGCCGGGUGGGGGAAGACGGGCUUCGGGUUGGAAACCGCUUUCGCUCAUGACGAAGCUUUGUGUGACGGUAGUGGGUAAAGAAGCACCGGCUAACUACGUG